UACGGGGGGGGCAAGCGUUGUUCGGAUUUACUGGGCGUAAAGCGCACGUAGGCGGAUCGUUAAGUGAGGGGUGAAAUCCCAGGGCUCAACCCUGGAACUGCCUUUCAUACUGGCGAUCUAGAGUCCGGAAGAGGUGAGUGGAACUCCUAGUGUAGAGGUGGAAUUCGUAGAUAUUAGGAAGAACACCAGUGGCGAAGGCGGCUCACUGGUCCGGUACUGACGCUGAGGUGCGAAAGCGUGGGGAGCAAACAGG
rnacentral:rRNA from 1 species